AGAUAAAGGGUAUUGUUGCAA
rnacentral:siRNA from 1 species